rnacentral:rRNA from 1 species
AACGCGAAGAACCUUACCAGCCCUUGACAUGUCCGGGACCGGUCGCAGAGAUGUGACCUUCUCUUCGGAGCUCGGAACACAGGUGCUGCAUGGCUGUCGUCAGCUCGUGUCGUGAGAUGUUGGGUUAAGUCCCGCAACGAGCGCAACCCCCGUCCUUAGUUGCUACCAUUUAGUUGAGCACUCUAAGGAGACUGCCGGUGAUAAGCCGCGAGGAAGGUGGGGAUGACGUCAAGUCCUCAUGGCCCUUACGGGCUGGGCUACACACGUGCUACAAUGGCGGUGACAGUGGGAUGCGAAGACGCAAGUCCUAGCAAAUCUCAAAAAGCCGUCUCAGUUCGGAUUGGGCUCUGCAACUCGAGCCCAUGAAGUUGGAAUCGCUAGUAAUCGUGGAUCAGCACGCCACGGUGAAUACGUUCCCGGGCCUUGUA